AGACUAACAAGAGGUUUUGGUGGUGUGU
rnacentral:piRNA from 1 species